UACGGAGGGUGCAAGCGUUAAUCGGAAUUACUGGGCGUAAAGCGCGCGUAGGCGGUGGCGUGAGUCGGAUGUGAAAGCCCCGGGCUCAACCUGGGAAUGGCAUUCGAUACCGCGUUGCUAGAGUUUGGGAGAGGGAAGGGGAAUUCCGGGUGUAGCGGUGAAAUGCGUAGAUAUCCGGAGGAACACCAGUGGCGAAGGCGCCUUCCUGGCCUAAGACUGACGCUGAGGUGCGAAAGCCAGGGGAGCAAACGGG
rnacentral:rRNA from 1 species